UACGUAGGGUGCGAGCGUUAAUCGGAAUUACUGGGCGUAAAGCGUGCGCAGGCGGUGAUGUAAGACCGAUGUGAAAUCCCCCGGGCUUAACCUGGGAACUGCAUUGGUGACUGCAUUGCUCGAGUAUGGCAGAGGGGGGGUGGAAUUCCACGUGUAGCAGUGAAAUGCGUAGAGAUGUGGAGGAACACCGAUGGCGAAGGCAGCCCCCUGGGCCAAUACUGACGCUCAUGCACGAAAGCGUGGGGAGCAAAC
rnacentral:rRNA from 1 species